rnacentral:rRNA from 1 species
UACGUAGGCAGCGAGCGUUGUUCGGAGUUACUGGGCGUAAAGCGUGCGUAGGCGGUGUCUUAAGUUUGUUGUGAAAUCUCCCGGCUUAACCGGGAGGGUGCGGCGAAUACUGAGAUGCUGGAGUGCCGGAGAGGUAAGCGGAAUUCCUGGUGGUAGCGGUGAAAUGCGUAGGAUAUCAGGAGGAACACCUGCGGUGUAGACGGCUUACUGGACGGUAACUGACGCUGAGGCACGAAAGCGUGGGUAGCAAACAGG